AGUGAACGCUGGCGGCAGGCCUAACACAUGCAAGUCGAGCGGAUGAAGGGAGCUUGCUCCCGGAUUCAGCGGCCGACGGGCGGGUGAUGCCGAGGAAUCUGCCUAGCAGCUGGUUAUAACGUCCUGAAAUGGGCGCUAAUACCGCAUACGUCCAUACGGAGAACGGGUGGGAUCAUCGGACCUCACGCCAUCGGGUGAUCCUAUGACGGAAUAGCUAGUUGGUGGGGUAAAGGCCUACCAAGGCGACGAUCCGUAACUGGUCUGAGAGGAUGAGCAGCCACACUGGAACUGAGACACGGUCCAGACUCCUACGGGAGGCAGCAGUGGGGAAUAUUGGACAAUGGGCGAAAGCCUGAUCCAGCCAUGCCGCGUGUGUGAAGAAGGUCUUCGGAUUGUAAAGCACUUUAAGUUGGGAGGAAGGGCAGUAAGUUAAUACCUUGCUGUUUUGACGGUACCAAAAGAAUAAGCACCGGCUAACUUCGUG
rnacentral:rRNA from 1 species